GAUGAACGCUGGCGGCGUGCCUAAUACAUGCAAGUCGAGCGAACAGACGCGGCGCUUGCUCCUCUGACGUUAGCGGCGGGCGGGUGAGUAACACGUGGAUAACCUACCUAUAAGACUGGGAUAACUUCGGGAAACCGGAUCUAAUACCGGAUAACAUGUUGCACCGCAUGGUUCAACAGUGAAAGACGGUCUUGCUGUCACUUAUAGAUGGAUCCGCGCCGCAUGAGCUAGUUGUUAAGUUAACGGCUUACCACGGCAACGAUGCGUAGGCGACGUGUGGGAGGGAUAGGCGACCCGGGAACUUGGCCACGGUCCAGAGUCCUGCGGGAGGCAGCAGUAGCGAAUCUUACGCAGUGGGCGAAAGCAUUACGGAGCAGCCCGGCGUGAGUGGAGAAGGUCUUCGGAUCGUAAAACUCUGUUAUUAGGGAAGAACAACUGUGUAAGUAACUAUGCACGUCUUGACGGUACCUAAUCAGAAAGCAACGGCUAACUACGUG
rnacentral:rRNA from 1 species